GUACAAAUCAACUAAGGAUCUUGUUAAAAUGCAGAUUCUGAUUUAGUAGUUCUGGGUGAAGCCUGAGAGUCUGCAGUUCUAACAGGGUCCCAGGUGACUGAAGU
rnacentral:pre_miRNA from 1 species